rnacentral:pre_miRNA from 12 species
AUGCAUUUAUCUCUAGAUAUAAUUAUGCGUAUAUAAUAUUGCAUAUACACAUAAUUAUAUCUAGAGAUAAAUGUCUC